rnacentral:rRNA from 1 species
GAUGAACGCUGGCGGCGUGCCUAAUACAUGCAAGUCGAGCGAACAGACGAGGAGCUUGCUCCUCUGACGUUAGCGGCGGACGGGUGAGUAACACGUGGAUAACCUACCUAUAAGACUGGGAUAACUUCGGGAAACCGGAGCUAAUACCGGAUAAUAUAUUGAACCGCAUGGUUCAAUAGUGAAAGACGGUAUUGCUGUCACUUAUAGAUGGAUCCGCGCCGCAUUAGCUAGUUGGUAAGGUAACGGCUUACCAAGGCAACGAUGCGUAGCCGACCUGAGAGGGUGAUCGGCCACACUGGAACUGAGACACGGUCCAGACUCCUACGGGAGGCAGCAGUAGGGAAUCUUCCGCAAUGGGCGAAAGCCUGACGGAGCAACGCCGCGUGAAUGAUGAAGGUCUUCGGAUCGUAAAACUCUGUUAUUAGGGAAGAACAAAUGUGUAAGUAACUAUGCACGUCUUGACGGUACCUAAUCAGAAAGCCACGGCUAACUACGUG